UGGGGCGUAGCCAAGUGGUAAGGCAUACGGUUUUGGUCCGUACAUGCGCAGGUUCGAAUCCUGCCGCCCCAG
rnacentral:tRNA from 1 species